GAUGAACGCUGGCGGCGUGCCUAAUACAUGCAAGUCGAGCGAACAGACGAGGAGCUUGCUCCUCUGACGUUAGCGGCGGACGGGUGAGUAACACGUGGAUAACCUACCUAUAAGACUGGGAUAACUUCGGGAAACCGGAGCUAAUACCGGAUAAUAUAUUGAACCGCAUGGUUCAAUAGUGAAAGACGGUUUUGCUGUCACUUAUAGAUGGAUCCGCGCCGCAUUAGCUAGUUGGUAAGGUAACGGCUUACCAAGGCAACGAUGCGUAGCCGACCUGAGAGGGUGGUCGGACACACGGGGACUGAGACACGGUCCAGACUCCUACGGGAGGCAGCAGUAGGGAAUCUUACGCGAUGGGCGAAAGGCUGACGGAGGAACGUCGCGGGAGUGAUGAAGGUCUUCGGAUGGUAAAGCUCUGUUAGUAGGAAAGAACAAAUGUGUAAUUAACUAGGCACAUCUUGACGGUACCUAAACAGAAAGCCACGGCUAACUACGUG
rnacentral:rRNA from 1 species